CAGAAUAUCCCCUGCAAGUAUCACUCACCGGCGGAGAGCACGGCGCAGGAGAGGAGCGAGAGAGCGGCGAGUGUCUUCAUUGCGUCAGAAAUGUCGUGAGAAUGGAGCGGACUGACGAGCGCCCUCUGUUAUACAGAAGGUACCGCCGCCCCUCAUCUCCUCCGUGCCUGUCGUCUCUCCGGCAAAGGCCAACGAAUUUCCAUCACGUAUAUUAAGCCAAGAUAGCAUCGUACUAACCGGAGCGCCUUGAUUACGGAAGCAUUAUAGAGAAUGGAAACCCCUAAACACCGCAGAUGAGCCCCUGUGUAAUAGCAUUUUUUUGAAUGGAUUGUAUAACAGCAUCA